rnacentral:lncRNA from 1 species
AAAGUCAAGGAUGACAUCUUUGUUAGUCAAUCCAAAUAUUGCAAGGAUUUUUUGAAAUGGUUUGAGAUUGAUGAAUGCAAAGCAAUUGCCACACUGAUAGGUUCAGGAACAUACAUCGAUAUGUUGAAGCUGGAAAAUGCACAAAUAUUUAAAAGUAUCGAGAUAUGAUUGAGUCCAUUCUUUAUCUUACUGCAAAUAGAC